GGAUGCGAUCAUACCAGCACUAAAGCACCGGAUCCCAUCAGAACUCCGAAGUUAAGCGUGCUUGGGCGAGAGUAGUACUAGGAUGUGUGACCUCUUGGGAAGUCCUCGUGUUGCAUUCCC
rnacentral:rRNA from 1 species